rnacentral:SRP_RNA from 1 species
GCCGGGCGUGGUGGCGUACGCCUGUAGUCCCAGCUACUCGGGGGGCUGAGGCAGAAGAAUUGCUUGAACCUGGGAGGCAGAGGUUGCAGUGAGCCACUGUACUCUAGCCUGGGUGACAGAGUGAGAUUCUGUCUCAA